AUGGAUCCUAAGUUGGGAGAGGUCACAGAGGAGGAGGGGGAUGCCGUCGAUGUGAGGGCUGCAGUAGCGGAGCAGAGGAGGAGGAGGCGCAGGCGCAGGCAGAUGGCACGACGUGCUGCUGAGGAGGAACUGGAGGCAGAGUUCAACAGACGCCUUGCGCGCGAGAUGAUGGAUACUUACAACUCUAAUGAAUUGGAGCUUCUUUUGCCAGAGGGCAGGGGAAGGAACCAUAUUCAGAUCAUCAGUUGGGCUAGGGCGAGAGCAGCCACGGCUCCACAUCCAUCCAUCAGGGCCAAAUGGCGUCAUUUCUUUGAUCGUUAUGACUGA
rnacentral:rRNA from 1 species